rnacentral:rRNA from 1 species
GACGAACGUUGGCGGCGUGCUUAACACAUGCAAGUCGAACGGAAAGGCCCUGCUUUUGUGGGGUGCUCGAGUGGCGAACGGGUGAGUAACACGUGAGUAACCUGCCCUUGACUCUGGGAUAACUUCAGGAAACUGGGGCUAAUACCGGAUAGGAGCUCCUGCUGCAUGGUGGGGGUUGGAAAGUUUCGGCGGUUGGGGAUGGACUCGCGGCUUAUCAGCUUGUUGGUGGGGUAGUGGCUUACCAAGGCUUUGACGGGUAGCCGGCCUGAGAGGGUGACCGGCCACAUUGGGACUGAGAUACGGCCCAGACUCCUACGGGAGGCAGCAGUGGGGAAUAUUGCACAAUGGGCGGAAGCCUGAUGCAGCAACGCCGCGUGCGGGAUGACGGCCUUCGGGUUGUAAACCGCUUUCGCCUGUGACGAAGCGUGAGUGACGGUAAUGGGUAAAGAAGCACCGGCUAACUACGUGCCAGCAGCCGCGGUGAUACGUAGGGUGCGAGCGUUGUCCGGAUUUAUUGGGCGUAAAGGGCUCGUAGGUGGUUGAUCGCGUCGGAAGUGUAAUCUUGGGGCUUAACCCCUGAGCGUGCUUUCGAUACGGGUUGACUUGAGGAAGGUAGGGGAGAAUGGAAUUCCUGGUGGAGCGGUGGAAUGCGCAGAUAUCAGGAGGAACACCAGUGGCGAAGGCGGUUCUCUGGGCCUUUCCUGACGCUGAGGAGCGAAAGCGUGGGGAGCGAACAGGCUUAGAUACCCUGGUAGUCCACGCUGUAAACGGUGGGUACUAGGUGUGGGGUCCAUUCCACGGGUUCCGUGCCGUAGCUAACGCUUUAAGUACCCCGCCUGGGGAGUACGGCCGCAAGGCUAAAACUCAAAGGAAUUGACGGGGCCCCGCACAAGCGGCGGAGCAUGCGGAUUAAUUCGAUGCAACGCGUAGAACCUUACCUGGGUUUGACAUGGAUCGGGAGUGCUCAGAGAUGGGUGUGCCUCUUUUGGGGUCGGUUCACAGGUGGUGCAUGCCUGUCGUCAGCUCGUGUCGUGAGAUGUUGGGUUAAGUCCCGCAACGAGCGCAACCCUUGUUCACUGUUGCCAGCACGUUAUGGUGGGGACUCAGUGGAGACCGCCGGGGUCAACUCGGAGGAAGGUGGGGAUGACGUCAAGUCCUCAUGCCCCUUAUGUCCAGGGCUUCACGCAUGCUACAAUGGCUGGUACAGAGAGUGGCGAGCCUGUGAGGGUGAGCGAAUCUCGGAAAGCCGGUCUCAGUUCGGAUUGGGGUCUGCAACUCGACCUCAUGAAGUCGGAGUCGCUAGUAAUCGCAGAUCAGCAACGCUGCGGUGAAUACGUUCCCGGG